AUUGAACGCUGGCGGCGUGCUUAACACAUGCAAGUCGAGCGGUAACAGGUGUAGCAAUACAUGCUGACGAGCGGCGAACGGGUGAGUAAUGCUUCGGAAUCUUCCUCGUAGUGGGGAAUAGCCUGGGGAAACUCAGGCUAAUACCGCAUACGAACUACGGUUGAAAGCAGGGGCUCGCAAGACCUUGCGCUAUGAGAUGAGCCGAAGUCGGAUUAGCUAGUUGGUGGGGUAAAGGCUCAACAAGGCGACGAGCCGUAGCUGGUCUGAGAGGAAGGACGGGCCCACUGGGAAUGAGCAACGGCCCAGACUCCUACGGGAGGCAGCAGUGGUGAAUAUUGGACAAUGGGGGCAACCCUGAUCCAGCGACGCCGCGUGUGUGAAGAAGGCCUGCGGGUUGUAAAGCACUUUUAGUGGGGAGGAAAAAAGCAGACCUAACACGUCUGAAAUUGACUUAACCCAAAGAAAAAGCACCGGCUAACUCUGUGCCAGCAGCCGCAGUAA
rnacentral:rRNA from 1 species